rnacentral:lncRNA from 1 species
CUAAUGAGUCGCAGCAUCAGUGGAAUUUGUGUGUUAGCAAUCUCCUUCUGUGUUUUUUUGCUUUCCUUUAACCCUCGAAAUUCUAACCUUUCCUUUCAUUAUUUUUGGUUCUGGUUUUACAGGAGUGAAAUGUUUCAUACAACCACGAGCGAUCCAUGUCGUCCCUAAGUUAUACUGACAACAUAUGUCGAAGUUGGGUUCAUACUUGUUGACCAGUGCGAGUCCCAGCACGAUUCAGCCGACUCCGGCGACUGGAGAAACGAGUUAGUAACUCGAGGUACUCAAAUUCAACUAGUCAGAUGCCCUGUUUAAUAUACUAACAUUCCGAUCGGCUAUCCACGUGCAUUGGUCACAAUAAUUUCACCAAUUUACCCAAAUCCCGUUACUGGUAUUACAGAACUUCUCACUAAUUUUUGAACCAAAUCAAUUUUCACAAUCUACCGAAAAACCCGAAAGAAUUUACUCGAAAGCCAAGAACCCAUGUGCACUGUUCACAAUAAUUUCACCAUUUACCCAAAUCCCGUCACUGGAAGAGCAGCUUAUAUAUUUAUAAUUCUUGUCUACCUAUCAGAUUUGCCGCCAGCGAUGGUGGUGUUGGGAAGAGUGGUAUAGAAAGAAGGAAGAAGAUGAAUUGGUUUUCAUUUUAUUUUAAUUUCUUUUAGUUUUGGUUUGUAAUUAUUUAGCCCCUAUUUGUCGCCUAUUAUUUGGAAAAUUAACGCCUAUUAUUUGAAAAAUUAAAGAGUUUUGAAUAGUUAUUUUUUAGAGAAU